rnacentral:rRNA from 1 species
GACGAACGCUGGCGGCGUGCUUAACACAUGCAAGUCGAACGGUAAGGCCUCUUCGGGGGUACACGAGUGGCGAACGGGUGAGUAACACGUGAGUAACCUGCCCUUGACUUUGGGAUAACAUCUGGAAACAGGUGCUAAUACCGGAUAUGAGCUUGUCCUGCAUGGGAUGGGUUGGAAAGCUCCGGCGGUCAUGGAUGGACUCGCGGCCUAUCAGCUUGUUGGUGAGGUAAUGGCUCACCAAGGCUUCGACGGGUAGCCGGCCUGAGAGGGCGACCGGCCACAUUGGGACUGAGAUACGGCCCAAACUCCUACGGGAGGCAGCAGUGGGGAAUAUUGCACAAUGGGCGGAAGCCUGAUGCAGCAACGCCGCGUGCGGGAUGACGGCCUUCGGGUUGUAAACCGCUUUCAGCAGGGACGAAGCGUGAGUGACGGUACCUGCAGAAGAAGCACCGGCUAACUACGUGCCAGCCGCCGCCGUAAGAC